UGCAGUGGCCUAGAGGUGAAGCUUUUGCCUCACAGUCAGGAGUCUGUGAGCUCGAUGCUAGGUAGAGGCAGAUAUUUCUCUCUCUGGGUCAGUGAAAAUAUAUCUGCUGAAUAAAAACUCCGCAUUGGCAACAGGAAGGGCAUUUGGCCAUUAAAAUGCUUCUGCUACAUCCACAUU